rnacentral:rRNA from 1 species
AUGCUCUUCUGCUACACGCCUCACCCACUUCUUCCUCAGCGCCUGGACGCUCCCGAGCAUAGUCACUGUCCCAUGCUCCACCACCCUCCCCAACCUCAGGGAGCUCGGCCUCUCCAUUGUUGCCCUGGAUUUUCCCCCGUGUUUAACAUGUUAAUUGAGAGAGGGUUGAGCUCAUCCUAUAAACUGAAACAUACUUCUUCUCGGUUGACAUGUUUGAGCUCGGCCUGUCUCAAUCUCCGGGAGGAUGUUUUCAUAUCACAACACGCAUACUACUGGUUUGGAAGCCUGGUCGUAGGUUCCACACCAGCUAAAUUUGGUCACUCAAUCCGCAUUCACUCCGGUCCAUCGGGUGGUUCGUUCCAACACUACACACACCUGCUACUAGAUUUUUUUUUUCGACAUGUCAACUGA